UAUAUCUGGUUUUUGAUAAAGUAACCAAAACUGAAUUACAGUAAACAGGGCGAAAACUGAGAACUACACAACAGAGUAGAAUAACAAACAGAGCUGGGCCAAGAGAAAUCAGAAGACGAUGACCAUGAUAAUGAGGAGGGCUUUUACCACUUGCUUCUUUUCGAACACUCUUCUCAGAUUUCCGAUACAUGCUACUACUAAUACUAUUACUACUAUUCCGUUGCUUAGAUUGCAUUCACUUUCUCAAUAUCACACUUGCCCUAACCCUAAUCACAUACCCAAUCAUCUUUCGGAAUUUGAACAAUUAUUGUUGGAGAAAUCUAGAGUUGGUUUUGAUAAGCUGGAUGAUGCUCUUCGAGUGUUUGAUAAAAUGCUCCGUAAGAAACCUCUGCCUAGUGUCAUCGACUUUACUCAACUCUUAGCCGCCCUUGUCAAGAUGAAACAUUACUCUGCGGCUGUUUCCGUCUUUUCAAAGAUGUGCUCUUUUAACAUUGCUGUUGAUAUAGUUACUUAUAGUACUGUCAUCAACUGUUGUUGUCAUUUGAAACGAGUUGAUUAUGCCUUUGCGCUGUUGGCUGCCAUCUUUAAGCGUGGUUUUGUCCCGAAUGUUGUUACCUACACAACUCUUCUCAGGGGACUCAUUUCCCAGGACAAGUUUCUUGAGGCUGAGCUUCUCUUUAAGAACCUUCUCAAGCACAAUCAAGUUGAGCCCAAUGCAGUUAUCUUUAACACCAUUAUUAAUGGCCAGUGCAAAACAGGCAACACUUCCCAGGCUAUGAUGUUGCUUAGAUACAUGGAGAAGAAAGGUUGUAUGCCGAACGUAGUAAAUUAUAGCACUAUUAUUGAUAGUUUGUCCAAAGACAGAUUAGUCGAUGAUGCUCUGGGUCUUCUUGGCGAAAUGAGCGACAGAGGCAUUCAACCAAAUGUUGUAACCUACAGCUCGUUAAUUCAAGGUCUGUGCAACCUUAACCGAUGGGAUGAUAUAACACAAUUGUUAAAAGAUAUGAACAGACACAAAAUUUCCCCAGGUAAGCAUACCUAUAGUAUAUUGGUUGAUGCACAUGCGAGAGAUGGAAAGGUCAGAGAUGCUGAGUAUCUGAUAGAGUUGAUGAUUCGAAGAGGCCAAAAUCCUGACGUAGUCACGUAUAGUGCACUCAUGGAUGGAUACUGCUUGCGGGGAGAAUUGGAUAAAGCGUCAGUGGUGCUCAGAACAAUGAGAAAUAAGGGGAUUUCCCCCGAUGCUCAUACCUAUUCCAUAUUCAUCAAUGGUUUUUGUAAGAAGACGAAAGUAGACACAGCGAUCCAUCUCUUAGAAGAAAUGACCCUGAAAGGCUUAACACCUACAGUUGAAGCAUACAAUACUAUUUUGGAUGGGUUAUUUCGUACGCUUAGGCUUGAUGAAGCACAUAAGUUUUAUAAGAAGAUGUUAAACAAAGGUGUUAAACUGAAUGUAGUGACAUGCGGCAUCUUGUUGCAUGGACUUUGCUGGAAUGGACUUGUUGGUGAAGCAAUGUCCAUGUUUCACAAGAUGGAGUCAUGUGGCUUUGUUCCUAACAUACAAAUUUGUAAUAUUCUGAUUCAUGGAUUGUUCAAGGACGGCAAAGUUGAUGAAGCAAGAAACCUUUUUCAAAAUAUUCUUUUAAAGGGUCUACGACCUAGUGUCAUAACCUACAACAGUAUGAUACAAGGAUUUUGUCAAGAAGGGUUGCUGGAUGAAGCAUAUAAAAUACUUUUGGAAAUGGAAGAGCACAAUUGCUUGCCUACUGAAGCUACCUACAACAUUCUUAUCCGCGGCUGCUUUAAGAAUAAGAUGUAUGAUGGAGGUUGUCUGUUUAUAGAUGACAUGGUUGCUCAUGGUUUCAAAGCAGAUGCCUCUACCGCCUCCAUUGUAUUCGAUUUGCUGCAAUUGAAAGAGCAGGACCCUGCGCUCCUUGCUUUGCAGAAGAAGUUCAUGCCUUGACUACAUCAAUGAGCGAGUUUAUUAAGGAAGUUGGUUUCUCGGGAGAUGCAUACCACCUGUAUAUUACAGGACCUGCUCGGGACGAAUAAAUAGGACACUGCUAUUCUUGGUCUGUAAAAGUUUUUGUCAUACAUACGGGAAUGAUCCCGUGUGGAAAAUUAUUAUUUACUUGCACUCUCUUGUAAGUUUCUUAUCUAUUCUCGUAAUCAACUUGGAGUUUUCUUUACUGUAGGGUUAGUUUAGAGUUGCAUAAAGCAGUGUUCAGCACAGCAAAAGUGAAGUACAAGAACCGAUUCCCAAUUCUCUUAGUGGAUAGAGUGAUAGAAUAUAUCCCAGGAGUUUCUGCUGUUGCCAUUAAGAAUGUGACAAUAAAUGAUAACUUUUUCCCGGACAUUUUCCAGAAAGGCCAAUCAUGCCCGGCGUCCUCAUGGUUGAGGUAAGCAUGCGUUUUACAAGCGAUUACUCAUAUUAUAUAUGUAGGAACGAGCAAUUAAAUACGUAUAUUGAGCUGUUUUCUGUUAGAGUCUAAAUGUGAAUGCAUCAUAACUUACAGAGCAUUUCUUUUGUCCGUGAAUAUAUAUGCAAACGGCUGGUUGGGUUGUUUAACUAUUCAUCUUAAUUGAACUGACUUCUCUAAAUAAUUCCUGUUUAUAUUUUGCGAUAAUGAUACAAUCUGCAACUGCUCAUUAAAUUUUAUUUUUGAGUACUUGAAGCUUUAUUCAUUGUUUAUCCUUAAGUCCUUAUGUUUCAUCAAGUCCUUGGUGGAACAGAGUGAAUCUUCUGGUAAUUCUAUUAGCUCUAGAGAGUGAUAGAAAUUGCCUAAGACAUUGAAGAAUAUCUGUGGGACUCAAAGUUCUGUGAAAGAAAAUUUAAAGGGCACCACCAAGCACAAAAUGUUCAGGCCAAAAUUUGUUAUAUACAUGUGACUUAUGCAUUCAAAUUAUCAUGUUACUAGAGCUUGUUUGGGUGGACUUAAAAUAAGUUACUUAUAACUUAAAGUUGGUUUUUGUGGUUUUAAGUUAAAUGUGAAAGCUUUGACUUUAAGUUAAGCGUGUGUAUGUGUUUGGGUAUCUGAACAUAAAGAGGGGAAAUGAGAAAGAAAGGUUGAAGAGAAAAAAGUCGAUACAGAAAAAAGCUGAAAAAUAGCUAUCAGUGACUUCCGGCUUUUGGGCUGUUUUGGACUUUAAGCCCACUCCAACAUUAAGUUGGCAAACAGGAUAAUAACCGCUUAAAGCUCUCAUAAGCUGGCUUUCUUUAUUGCCAAACAUGCUCUAUAUGAGAUGAAAGUUACAUUGAUUGCUUACUUUUCUGAAAGAAGUUUAAUCAUUCCCCUUUCAUCUCUUUAAAACGCAGUCAGUAGUCAAAAUUCAGAAAUAACUUUUUGUUGCUGAACCAAUUGGACAAAGGUUGAUGGACACGGACCUGGAUCUUGGACUAGGACCAGGACAAAGUGUCCAGUCAAUCAGUCAUGCUGUUUGGAGCUUUGAACAGUCCUGCAUAGGUAAUCAUUUUUGCUUAUUCAAAAAUAUAGUGAACUGAUAUAUGUAUAUACCCUUUGACCCAAGUGUCCGAGUCUUGUAGACAUAGUUUAAGAUCAACCGGAGACUUAGGAUUUAGACUGUGUUCAUUUGGAUGGAACGAAAUAAUUUUCGUUCUUUCGGUCAUUCCAUUCCAAAUUAUUUAAACUAUAAAUCUAACUCACAUGCUUUAGAAGGGAUGCUCAUUCCCUUUCUUCAUCAUGUUUCCCUGCUAUCUUCAUCGUAAAAAAUUAAGACUCGCUCAUAUUUAAUCACUAUUGUCUCAUGCUAUCUUCAUAAUUGUUUUGAAUUAUUCCAGGAUCUUCUACAAUCUGCUUUAUUUUAUUUUCGUUUUUGAUGACUACAAUCUGCUUUCUGUUCUGUGGACAUUGCAAUUGCAUUAUAUAUUUACCUUCAGUACAGUGACCUUCAUAUUUUAUGUGCAAGUUAACAAUGCUUUUAAUUUUUCUUUUCCUCUUUGUACUAUCUUUAUUCUACUACUGCCAUAAAGCUUGUUGAGCUAAUGUUAUAGUUAUUCACUAAAACUAAUGAUAAAAUGUUAGAAAUUUCUCAACACUGGUAUUGUAUGUACUUUAGUGGCUAUCUUGUGGACACUACUACUAUAUUUGUAGUUGUAGAAACACCAAUCGUUGUGCUUGUACACAAGUCUCCUGCAUUUUGCAUCUCAUUUAGGGAACCCACGUUAGUGCAAAAUUGAUCAUUGUUAACAAAGAGGGAUACGUUAGGUGUAUUUUGCGGAUCUUUUACUAGGUUGGUUCGGACGUCUAAAGGUGAUAGAGUUAAUUAGGUGCUGAUUUCUCUAUUAACGUUAGGUUUCACUCUUAUCAUUUUGUUAUGGUUGAAAUAACUGUAAACUUCACUGCUGCCAUGCAUAGUUGAUAUCUGACGUGGGGUAAAAUCAGUGAAUUAGGAUUGUAGCAACUCUUACUCAAUAAAUUAAUUAGAUUACUAACAGAAACUACAUUAGAUUAGAUAUACAAGCUCGCAAUUGUAUACGAGUUCUUGUACUGGCAACAGUGUCAGAUUUCCACCCAGAUAGCGAAUAAUAAAAAUUAGAUCCUAAUUAUAAAUUUUAUUGGUGUAGGAAAGCUUCUACUUCAUUUGUAGUAUAGUAAGUAUUAAAUUCUUCAUAAAAGGUGGAAAUAUUGCAUUUAUCUUAAAU